rnacentral:tRNA from 1 species
GCAAACAUAGUUUCAACAAAAACAUUAGAUUGUGAUUCUAAAAACAGAAGUUAAAGCCUUCUUGUCUGCC